rnacentral:rRNA from 1 species
CCUACGGUGGGCUGCAGUGAGGAAUAUUGGUCAAUGGCCGGAAGGCUGAACCAGCCAUGCCGCGUGAAGGUCAGUGCCCUAUGGGCGUUAAACUUCUUUUGUGCGGGAGCAAUAAUGGUCACGUGUGGCCAGACGAGAGUACCGUACGAAUAAGCAUCGGCUAACUCCGUGCCAGCAGCCGCGGUAAUACGGGGGAUGCAAGCGUUAUCCGGAUUUAUUUGGUUUAAAGGGUGCGUAGGCGUUGAGGUAAGUCAGCGGUGAAAUGCCCCCGCGCAACGGGGUGAAGUGCCAUUGAUACUGCCUUGCUGGAAUGCGGAUGCAGUGGGAGGAAUGUGUGGUGUAGCGGUGAAAUGCAGAGAUAUCACACAGAACACCGAUUGCGAAGGCAUCUCACGAAUCCGCGAUUGACGCUGAUGCACGAAAGCGUGGGUAUCAAACAGGAUUAGAUACCCUUGUAGUC